rnacentral:misc_RNA from 1 species
GAUGAAGAACGUAGCGAAAUGCGAUACAUGGUGUGAAUUGCAGAAUCCCGUGAACCAUCGAGUCUUUGAACGCAAGUUGCGCCUCAAGCCAUUAGGUUGAGGGCACGUCUGCCUGGGCGUCACAUAUCGUUGCCUGAUGCCAGUUUCCUCGUGAUGGGUGACUGUGCAGGGCGAAUGAUGGCUUCCCGUGAGCAUUGUUGCCUCAUGGUUGGUUGAAAAUUGAGUCCUUGGUAGGGAGCGCCGUGAUAGAUGGUGGUUGAGUGACGAACGAGACCCAAUCAUGUGAGACCCCUACCGAAUUUGGCCUUCAUGACCCACAUGCGUCUUUGGAACGCUCAUGACGAGACCUCAGGUCAGGCGGGGCUACCCGCUGAGUUUAAGCAUAUCAAUAAGCGGAGGA